UUAUUUGUUUCACGUGUCCAACACUGGGCUACGCCCUUGGUAUUCACUAUCUCAUUUAUUCCUGGAAAUAACUCCAAGAGUUAGGUGUUGUUACUCUCAUUUAACAGACAAAGAUAUUGAUCAUCGCAGAGGCCAAAGUACAUAGCUUGCGUAAAGACACACAAAUCAGGAACUGAACGUGGAUUCUGACUACACCAAAAUGCACUAUUCCCCACGAAGAUGACAAGAGCUGUUUACAGCCUUUAUGUCCACUGUGCCAGUAUAUUCUCACAGAGUGAGGCAAGAGGCUUAGUAAUAUCCCUCUUUACAAAUGUGGAAGCUGAGGCACAAAAGAGUCCUGCAAUUUAGGUAACUUCCCAUAUUAAGUGAGGACAGAGCAAAGUCCUACCCAGAGGCAUUUCCUACUUUAGGCAUGGCGUCACUGUCGCCCAGGAAAUCUGUGAACUUAGUGGGCAUUUCAGUUGAACCAAUGCACACUAAACAUGUGUCCCAGCGGCUGCCCCAUUGCCCAAAGUGAGGACAGACCUGUCCUUCAAAGACUAAAAUCCUGUUUAGAACAACAAUUCAUAGACACUUUGAGGACCACUGCUUGUACUUGCUCUGGUCAUCUGUAUACCCUUUCCCUCUUGUUUUCCUCUAUUCAUUUUUCUCCCUUGAACUCCUUAUCUUCUAAUCCCUCCUCCUGAAUGCUCUUAUUUUAUCUCUCCCUCCACUUUUAUCUUUUCCUCCAGGUCGCCUGAGUCUAUCUUCUCCCCAGGUCAGGCUCCCCAGGCUUUCUUGGCCCCCUGACCCCUCCUUCCUCUCCCAGGACUGUAUUUCCCCUGCCUCUCACUUGCCUCCCAGCAACCUAAGCAGAACAAUACUGGAAGUGGAACUGGCACUCUGACAAAAAGGAGAGCAAUUGGAAAGAAAACUUUACUCAUCAAGAAAGAGGCAAGUAUCUUAAAAAUAUCUGUGGGAAGGUGUUUGCUAAAUCAUCUGCUUCUUCAGAUGUAAACUUUCAACAGUAUGAGUUCCACUGGGAUGGAGAUAGACAAGAAGUGCCUUCUUGGGCUGGAUGACUGAGCAGAUGCGAGGAACUAGAGACCCCGAUAACUUAGCCGUGAAUAAAAUUCAAGAGUUGUUUCCCUCUUUA